rnacentral:tRNA from 1 species
GCCGGCUUAGCUCAGUUGGUAGAGCAGCUGAUUUGUAAUCAGCAGGUCGUCGGUUCGAGCCCGACAGCCGGCUCCA